UACGUAGGGUGCAAGCGUUGUCCGGAAUUAUUGGGCGUAAAGAGCUCGUAGGCGGUUUGUCGCGUCUGCUGUGAAAACUCGGGGCUUAACCCCGGGCCUGCAGUGGGUACGGGCAGACUAGAGUGCGGUAGGGGAGACUGGAAUUCCUGGUGUAGCGGUGAAAUGCGCAGAUAAUCAGGAGGAACACCGGUGGCGAAGGCGGGUCUCUGGGCCGUAACUGACGCUGAGGAGCGAAAGCGUGGGGGAGCGAACAGG
rnacentral:rRNA from 1 species